rnacentral:rRNA from 1 species
UAGGGAAUCUUCCGCAAUGGACGCAAGUCUGACGGAGCAACGCCGCGUGAGUGAAGAAGGAUUUCGGUUCGUAAAACUCUGUUGUUAGAGAAGAACAGCGCAUAGAGUAACUGUUAUGCGUGUGACGGUAUCUAACCAGAAAGCCACGGCUAACUACGUGCCAGCAGCCGCGGUAAUACGUAGGUGGCAAGCGUUGUCCGGAUUUAUUGGGCGUAAAGCGAGCGCAGGCGGUCAAUUAAGUCUGAUGUGAAAGCCCCCGGCUCAACCGGGGAGGGUCAUUGGAAACUGGUUGACUUGAGUGCAGAAGAGGAGAGUGGAAUUCCAUGUGUAGCGGUGAAAUGCGUAGAUAUAUGGAGGAACACCGGUGGCGAAAGCGGCUCUCUGGUAUGUAACUGACGCGGAGGCUCGAAAGCGUGGGGAGCGAACAGG